rnacentral:rRNA from 1 species
GGCUCAGGAUGAACGCUAGCGGCAGGCUUAACACAUGCAAGUCGAGGGGCAUCGGGAGUAGCAAUACUGCCGGCGACCGGCGCAAGGGUGCGUAACGCGUGAGCAACAUGCCCGUAUCAGGGGGGAUAAUCCAUGGAAACGUGGUCUAAUACCCCAUAGUAAUUAUGUAAGGCAUCUUAUAUAAUUUAAAGCUUUGGUGGAUACGGAUUGGCUCGCGUGACAUUAGCUGGAUGGUAAGGUAACGGCUUACCAUGGCUACGAUGUCUAGGGGUUCUGAGAGGAAGGUCCCCCCACACUGGAACUGAGACACGGUCCAGACUCCUACGGGAGGCAGCAGUGAGGAAUAUUGGACAAUGGAUGGAAAUCUGAUCCAGCCAUGCCGCGUGCAAGGAAGACGGCCCUAUGGGUUGCAAACUGCUUUUGUAUGGGAGCAAUAAGGGCUACGUGUAGUCCGAUGAGAGUACCAUACGAAUAAGCACCGGCUAACUCCGUGCCAGCCGCCGC